rnacentral:pre_miRNA from 2 species
CUGCUGUGAGUGGUUCUCUGGCAGUGUCUUAGCUGGUUGUUGUGUGGAGUGAGAACGAAGCAAUCAGCAAGUAUACUGCCGCAGAAACUCGUCACCUU